rnacentral:lncRNA from 1 species
CCGCACAGUCCUGGAUUUACAAAAGCUAACGUGAGGGCAGCAAGGACAGUGAUGGUCGAACAAUGUGACGCCCUCCAUUUAAUAACCAACACCAGCACCAACGAGGACAAGCCCCAGACUGGAUGUUAGCGAUGACCCUCAACCACUGUCCGAACGCUGACUCGGCCCAGACGAUGUUCAAAGCUCCCCCACCUGCAGCCCUCAAGAACAAAAGUGUCAGGCGGAGACCAAGGCCAUUUCCUAAGGAGACAGAGUGCUGAUUAACUAGAUACUCCAAAAUAG